rnacentral:rRNA from 1 species
GAUCCUGGCUCAGGAUGAACGCUAGCUACAGGCUUAACACAUGCAAGUCGAGGGGCAUCAGGGUGUAGCAAUACACCGCUGGCGACCGGCGCACGGGUGAGUAACACGUAUCCAACCUGUCGUCUACUCUUGGACAGCCUUCUGAAAGGAAGAUUAAUACAAGAUGGCAUCAUGAGUCCGCAUGUUCACAUGAUUAAAGGUAUUCCGGUAGACGAUGGGGAUGCG